rnacentral:rRNA from 1 species
UAGGGAAUCUUCCACAAUGGACGCAAGUCUGAUGGAGCAACGCCGCGUGAGUGAAGAAGGGUUUCGGCUCGUAAAGCUCUGUUGUUAAAGAAGAACGUGGGUAAGAGUAACUGUUCAGGUAUUGACGGUAUUUAACCAGAAAGCCACGGCUAACUACGUGCCAG